rnacentral:rRNA from 1 species
GUAGUUGGACCUGUGUUCCACGCUGUCGGUUCGCCGCCCGUCGGUGUCAACUGGCAUGUCCUGUGGAACGUCCUGCCGGUGGCGGUCCGGGCUUUCGGCUUGCGUAAGGGCUCACGCCCGAAGCAGGCCGAACAGUACCGGCCGCCGGUCCAAUCCCGCCACGGUGCUCUUCACCGAGUGUCGAGGUGGGCCGGCACGUUUACUUUGAACAAAUUAGAGUGCUUAAAGCAGGCUGGUGUCCGCCUGAAUACUGUGUGCAUGGAAUAAUAGAAUAGGACCUCGGUUCUAUUUUGUUGGUUUUCGGAACCCGAGGUAAUGAUUAAUAGGGACAGGCGGGGGCAUUCGUAUUGCGACGUUAGAGGUGAAAUUCUUGGAUCGUCGCAAGACGAACCUAAGCGAAAGCAUUUGCCAAGUAUGUUCUCGUUAAUCAAGAACGAAAGUUAGAGGUUCGAAGGCGAUCAGAUACCGCCCUAGUUCUAACCAUAAACGAUGCCAGCCAGCGAUCCGCCGAAGUUCCUCCGAUGACUCGGCGGGCAGCUUCCGGGAAACCAAAGCUUUUGGGUUCCGGGGGAAGUAUGGUUGCAAAGCUGAAACUUAAAGGAAUUGACGGAAGGGCACCACCAGGAGUGGAGCCUGCGGCUUAAUUUGACUCAACACGGGAAACCUCACCAGGCCCGGACACCGGAAGGAUUGACAGAUUGAGAGCUCUUUCUUGAUUCGGUGGGUGGUGGUGCAUGGCCGUUCUUAGUUGGUGGAGCGAUUUGUCUGGUUAAUUCCGAUAACGAACGAGACUCUAGCCUGCUAACUAGGCGAUUCCGGUACCCACAAUAGUGUUACCGGCGAUUCAAUUUCUUCUUAGAGGGACAGGCGGCUCCUAGCCGCACGAGACUGAGCAAUAACAGGUCUGUGAUGCCCUUAGAUGUCCUGGGCCGCACGCGCGCUACACUGAAGGAAUCAGCGUGUCUUCCCUGGCCGACAGGCCCGGGUAACCCGUUGAACCUCCUUCGUGCUAGGGAUUGGGGCUUGCAAUUGUUCCCCAUGAACGAGGAAUUCCCAGUAAGCGCGAGUCAUAAGCUCGCGUUGAUUACGUCCCUGCCCUUUGUACACACCGCCCGUCGCUACUACCGAUUGAAUGAUUUAGUGAGGUCUUCGGACUGGUGCGCGGCGAUCGGCCUAUACUGCCGGUCGCCGAUGUUGCCGGAAAGAUGACCAAACUUGAUCAUUUAGAGGAAGUAAAAGUCGUAACAAGGUU